rnacentral:rRNA from 1 species
UAUUAAAGGCAACGCCUGCCCAGUGAAUAAUUAAACGGCCGCGGUAUCCUAACCGUGCAAAGGUAGCGUAAUCACUUGUCUAUUAAUUGUAGACCCGUAUGAAAGGCAUAAUGAGGGUCUAACUGUCUCUUUUAGUAAAUCAAUUAAACUGAUCUCCCAGUCCAAAAGCUAGGAUAUUAUCAUAAGACCAGAAGACCCUGUGAAGCUUUAACUAAACUAUUAAACCCCCUAAUAGCUCCUUUAGGUUGGGGCGACCUUGGAAAAAAAGAACUUCCAAACACACAAUAACCAUGUUAUCUAGCCCGGCCAACAAGCCUACCAACGACCCAGCACAGCUGACAAUUGAACCAAGUUACUCCAGGGAUAACAGCGCUAUCUUCUUCAAGAGCCCAUAUCAAAAAGAAGGUUUACGACCUCGAUGUUGGAUCAGGACAUCCUAAUGGUGCAACCGCUAUUAAGGGUUCGUUUG